rnacentral:rRNA from 1 species
UACAGAGGGUGCGAGCGUUAAUCGGAAUUACUGGGCGUAAAGCGUGCGUAGACGGUUAUUUAAGUCGGGUGUGAAAGCCCCGGGCUCAACCUGGGAAUUGCAUUCGAGACUGAAUAGCUAGGGUACGGUAGAGGGAAGUGGAAUUUCCGGUGUAGCGGUGAAAUGCGUAGAUAUCGGAAGGAACAUCAGUGGCGAAGGCAGCUCGCUGGGACGUUACUGACGCUGAGACGCGAAAGCGUGGGGAGCAAACAGG